rnacentral:snRNA from 1 species
AAAGAAAAAAAUAACCGUCUAUA